CAGCCGCCGCGGUAAUACGUAGGUGGCAAGCGUUGUCCGGAAUUAUUGGGCGUAAAGGGCUCGCAGGCGGUUUCUUAAGUCUGAUGUGAAAGCCCCCGGCUCAACCGGGGAGGGUCAUUGGAAACUGGGGAACUUGAGUGCAGAAGAGGAGAGUGGAAUUCCACGUGUAGCGGUGAAAUGCGUAGAGAUGUGGAGGAACACCAGUGGCGAAGGCGACUCUCUGGUCUGUAACUGACGCUGAGGAGCGAAAGCGUGGGGAGCGAACAGGAUUAGAUACCCCAGUAGUCCCUGUCUCUUAUAC
rnacentral:rRNA from 1 species